rnacentral:rRNA from 1 species
AUUGAACGCUGGCGGUAUGCUUUACACAUGCAAGUCGAACGGUAGAGGGGCAACCCUUGAGAGUGGCGAACGGGUGAGUAAUACAUCGGAACGUGCCCAGUCGUGGGGGAUAACGUAGCGAAAGCUACGCUAAUACAGCAUACGACCUGAGGGUGAAAGCGGGGGACCUGCAAGGGCCUCGCGCGAUUGGAGCGGCCGAUGGCAGAGUAGGUAGUUGGUGAGGUAAAGGCUCACCAAGCCGACGAUCUGUAGCUGGUCUGAGAGGACGACCAGCCACACGGGGACUGAGACACGGCCCAGACUCCUACGGGAGGCAGCAGUGGGGAAUUUUGGACAAUGGGCGCAAGCCUGAUCCAGCAAUACCGCGUGCAGGAAGACGGCCUUCGGGUUGUAAACUGCUUUGGUCAGGGAAGAAAUCUUCUGGGCUAAUACCCUGGGAGGAUGACGGUACCUGAAGAAUAAGCACCGGCUAACUACGUGCCAGCAGCCGCCGUAACAC